rnacentral:pre_miRNA from 1 species
UCUCAUGGAUGAGCUAAGAAAGUGGUUUCUCGUGAUGGAAUCUACUCCUGAUGAAGAUGCUGUGAG